UAGUAAAGUGUUAAAUUUCCUGCAGAACACAUUUUUAUGAUUUUACAUCCAAAAAAGUUAAAGGCGGAAACUAAAACUGAUUUGCUUCUUCAAACGGACUGGAUACAUCAACAUAGUAUGUACAUACAAAUGUACAUACAAACAUAUAGCUUCAUAUGGAUUUUACUUAUUGUUGGAAAUUCCGAUGAAAGUUUUUCUAAAAUGAUAAAUUGAACCUGUAAACUUAAUAUGAUGAUACCGUAAUGAAACCAUGAAAUUUUUCGGAUCAACAGAAUAAUUCUAAAGCAAAAGUUGUACGAACAAGACUAUCCAGUAAUUGAAUAUAAUCGGUAUUAUAAUGCGGAAUGCUUAUAUAAGUUCCCAAAAAACCACCGUAAGAACUGUGAACGGAAACACCCUACAAUAUCAGGGAACAACAUGAAAUUAAAUACAUACAUAUAUGCAACCUCUAAUUUAUGGGCACUAUAUAAUAAAACACACGUUAUAUCACGUCGGUGGAACACCACAUACCAAUGUACAGUUUACAAAGGAAAAUCUAGUCAGUAUAAAGUAUAAGAUAUUGAAAAAUAUAGGUUUUAUAGAACCAACGGACAGAAAAGGACGAGAAAGUAUUUAUUAGAAGAGAAGAAGGCAUUCGGCUUCCGCUCAAAAUACCAAAAACUGGCAAUUCUUGAGACGAUCCUAUUAAGCUUUUGGAACUCACUAUUGAAUUAUAUAAUAAAAGCUGGAGAAGUUUGAAUGUUGGUGUUAAUCUUCAAUUAUGUGAUAUACAUAUAUAUUAUGACUAUAUUUCACAUGGAUAGAUGGCAAAUAACUACAAUAUUGAAAACUCUACUAUAUUAUAUUGGUUCAUCCGAAGAACAUUUUGAGAAUUCAUGCUCUAUUAUAAACGUAUUUGAAGCAUUUUGAGUAAGUACUUGCAACAGUAGUCACCGAAUUUCGAACCAGUUUCACGCUGAUGUGAAUCAAGAACAUUGAUGAAGACUCAAUUAGUCUUGAAUCUAAAAAAAAAUCUUUGCUGAGAUUGUGAUAAUUAUGAAUCUUAAUACAAAUUUCCAAAUAUCCAUUUCACUAAAGAAUAAUUAUCCAAGCAAUACAGCUCUUCUCUAAUCAAAUGGAUUUGUUAAUAAAUAAAGCUGUCAUAUUUGGCUUGAUUAGUUACCAGUGACAUUACAACACAUUGCUGAUGCCCUCGAAAAAUAUUCUAUUUGGUGUGAUUUAUGGAUACUUGGCGUUAUUGCUUAUGAAUAGGCUACAAAUAUGCAUUUUUCCUGUAUUUUGCUUUAAAUUAAAAAAUCAAACACUUAACAACUUAGCAAUUCCAACUUUCCAUAACAUGAAAUUAUUAUGAAACAAAUAACAAAUAUUUAAAUUUAUUAGUUAUUUUUG